UACGUAGGGGGCAAGCGUUGUCCGGAUUUACUGGGUGUAAAGGGCGCGUAGGCGGGUUUGUUAGUCAGAGGUGAAAUCCUGCAGCUUAACUGUAGAACUGCCUCUGAUACUGCAAAUCUUGAGUUCAGAAGAGAGAAGCGGAAUUCCAGGUGUAGUGGUGAAAUACGUAGAUAUCUGGAAGAACACCAGUGGCGAAGGCGGCUUCUUGGUCUGUAACUGACGCUGAGGCGCGAAAGCGUGGGGAGCAAACAGGAUUAGAAACCCUGGUAGU
rnacentral:rRNA from 1 species